CAGUCGCCGCGGUAACACGGAGGGUGCAAGCGUUAUCCGGAUUUAUUGGGUUUAAAGGGUCCGUAGGCGGACUUAUAAGUCAGUGGUGAAAGCCUGUCGCUUAACGAUAGAACUGCCUUUGAUACUGUAAGUCUUGAGUAUAUUUGAGGUAGCUGGAAUAAGUAGUGUAGCGGUGAAAUGCAUAGAUAUUACUUAGAACACCAAUUGCGAAGGCAGGUUACCAAGAUAUAACUGACGCUGAGGGACGAAAGCGUGGGUAGCGAACAGGAUUAGAUACCCCCGUAGUCCCUGUCUCUUAUAC
rnacentral:rRNA from 1 species